CAGUCGCCGCGGUAAUACGGAGGGAGCUAGCGUUGUUCGGAAUCACUGGGCGUAAAGCGCACGUAGGCGGCUAUUCAAGUCAGGGGUGAAAGCCCGGGGCUCAACCCCGGAACUGCCUUUGGAACUAGAUAGCUUGAAUCUUGGAGAGGCGAGUGGAAUUCCGAGUGUAGAGGUGAAAUUCGUAGAUAUUCGGAAGAACACCAGUGGCGAAGGCGACUCGCUGGGCAAGUAUUGACACUGAGGUGCGAAAGCGUGGGGAGCAAACAGGAUUAGAUACCCGUGUAGUCCCUGUCUCUUAUAC
rnacentral:rRNA from 1 species